rnacentral:rRNA from 1 species
CCUACGGGCGGCAGCAUUUAUUAAUAUUUUUCCCUUUCCUCUCGUCUGCCCCCGCCACGUAGCGUGAAGGAUGACUGCCCUAUGGGUUGUAAACUUCUUUUAUAUGGGAAUAAAACGUUCCACGUGUGGGAUUUUGUAUGUACCAUAUGAAUAAGGAUCGGCUAACUCCGUGCCAGCAGCCGCGGUAAUACGGAGGAUCCGAGCGUUAUCCGGAUUUAUUGGGUUUAAAGGGAGCGUAGGUGGAUUGUUAAGUCAGUUGUGAAAGUUUGCGGCUCAACCGUAAAAUUGCAGUUGAAACUGGCAGUCUUGAGUACAGUAGAGGUGGGCGGAAUUCGUGGUGUAGCGGUGAAAUGCUUAGAUAUCACGAAGAACUCCGAUUGCGAAGGCAGUUCACUGGACUGCAACUGACACUGAGGCUCGAAAGUGUGGGUAUCAAACAGGAUUAGAUACCCUAGUAGUC